rnacentral:rRNA from 1 species
GGGCGAAAGCCUGAUCCAGCCAUGCCGCGUGAGUGAUGAAGGCCUUCGGGUCGUAAAGCUCUUUCACCCGGGAUGAUAGUGACAGUACCGGAAGAAUAAUCUCCGGCUAUCUCCGUGCCAGCAGCCGCGGUUAUACUCCGUUGCCCAGCCAGCCGCGGGUUAAUA